CGUACAAGGAGUCAAGCAUGA
rnacentral:miRNA from 1 species